rfam:Rhizoclosmatium globosum strain JEL800 BCR33scaffold_21, whole genome shotgun sequence.
GGACUGGUAGCUCAGUGGUAGAGCGUAGGACUGCAAAUCCCGAGGCCGCGGGCUCAACCCCCGCCCGGUCCU